rnacentral:tRNA from 1 species
GGAGGAAUGUCCGAGUUUGGUCGAAGGAGCUUGACUCGAAAUCAAGUAGGCGGGUAACCGUCUCGGGGGUUCGAAUCCCUCUUCCUCCG